GGUUAAGCGACUAAGCGUACACGGUGGAUGCCCUGGCAGUCAGAGGCGAUGAAGGGCGUGCUAAUCUGCGAUAAGCGCCGGUAAGGUGAUAUGAACCGUUAUAACCGGCGAUACCCGAAUGGGGAAACCCAGUGUGACU
rnacentral:rRNA from 7 species